GACGAACGCUGGCGGCGUGCUUAACACAUGCAAGUCGAGCGGUAAGGCCUUUCGGGGUACACGAGCGGCGAACGGGUGAGUAACACGUGGGUGAUCUGCCCUGCACUUCGGGAUAAGCCUGGGAAACUGGGUCUAAUACCGGAUAUGACCUCCUAUCGCAUGGUGGGUGGUGGAAAGAUUUAUCGGUGCAGGAUGGGCCCGCGGCCUAUCAGCUUGUUGGUGGGGUAAUGGCCUACCAAGGCGACGACGGGUAGCCGACCUGAGAGGGUGACCGGCCACACUGGGACUGAGACACGGCCCAGACUCCUACGGGAGGCAGCAGUGGGGAAUAUUGCACAAUGGGCGAAAGCCUGAUGCAGCGACGCCGCGUGAGGGAUGACGGCCUUCGGGUUGUAAACCUCUUUCAGCAGGGACGAAGCGCAAGUGACGGUACCUGCAGAAGAAGCACCGGCUAACUACGUGCCAGCCGCCGCCGUAACAC
rnacentral:rRNA from 1 species